ensembl:snRNA Gm25887 predicted gene, 25887
AUCGCUUCUCAGCCUUUUGGCUAAGAUCAAGUGUAGUAUCUAUCAUUACUUUGGGACACUUCUUAGUCAUUGCUCCAAACAUUU